rnacentral:rRNA from 1 species
CAGUCGCCGCGGUAAUACGUAGGGUGCGAGCGUUAAUCGGAAUUACUGGGCGUAAAGCGUGCGCAGGCGGUUUUGUAAGACAGGCGUGAAAUCCCCGGGCUCAACCUGGGAAUGGCGCUUGUGACUGCAAAGCUAGAGUGCGGCAGAGGGGGAUGGAAUUCCGCGUGUAGCAGUGAAAUGCGUAGAUAUGCGGAGGAACACCGAUGGCGAAGGCAAUCCCCUGGGCCUGCACUGACGCUCAUGCACGAAAGCGUGGGGAGCAAACAGGAUUAGAGACCCCUGUAGUCCCUGUCUCUUAUAC